rnacentral:rRNA from 1 species
GUGGGGAAUAUUGGGCAAUGGGCGCAAGCCUGACCCAGCAACGCCGCGUGAAGGAAGAAGGCUUUCGGGUUGUAAACUUCUUUUACCAGGGACGAAACAAAUGACGGUACCUGGUGAAUAAGCCACGGCUAACUACGUGCCAGCAGCCGCGGUAAUACGUAGGUGGCGAGCGUUAUCCGGAUUUAUUGGGUGUAAAGGGCGUGUAGGCGGGACAGCAAGUCAGAUGUGAAAACCAGAGGCUCAACCUCUGGCCUGCAUUUGAAACUGUUGUUCUUGAGUGUCGGAGAGGUAAUCGGAAUUCCGUGUGUAGCGGUGAAAUGCGUAGAUAUACGGAGGAACACCAGUGGCGAAGGCGGAUUACUUGACGAUAACUGACGCUGAGGCGCGAAAGCGUGGGGAGCAAACAGGAUUAGAAACCCCAGUAGUCC